AUUGAACGCUGGCGGCAUGCCUUACACAUGCAAGUCGAACGGCAGCACGGGUGCUUGCACCUGGUGGCGAGUGGCGAACGGGUGAGUAAAACAUCGGAACAUGUCCUGUAGUGGGGGAUAGCCCGGCGAAAGCCGGAUUAAUACCGCAUACGAUCCACGGAUGAAAGCGGGGGACCUUCGGGCCUCGCGCUAUAGGGUUGGCCGAUGGCUGAUUAGCUAGUUGGUGGGGUAAAGGCCUACCAAGGCGACGAUCAGUAGCUGGUCUGAGAGGACGACCAGCCACACUGGGACUGAGACACGGCCCAGACUCCUACGGGAGGCAGCAGUGGGGAAUUUUGGACAAUGGGCGAAAGCCUGAUCCAGCAAUGCCGCGUGUGUGAAGAAGGCCUUCGGGUUGUAAAGCACUUUUGUCCGGAAAGAAAUCCUUGACUCUAAUACAGUCGGGGGAUGACGGUACCGGAAGAAUAAGCACCGGCUAACUACGUG
rnacentral:rRNA from 1 species